AGCACCAAACCAGGGUCCUACUGGCCACCAGGCCAAGCCAGCCUACUCCAGCCUCAAAUGCAGCAGCUGUCUGAAGCUCGAAGAAUGAACUUGGCCCUCAGCCUCAUCAUUCUCUAUGUGGACAACUCAACUACUCUAGGAAGCAUGGGGCUCUUGGCAGACAGGCCAACAGGUAGGCAGUGAGCCUCCAGUGUUCCCUUCUCUCUUGAGGACAGGGAUCAAUGAUGACCUCCCAAAGUCUCCUCCCAGCUACCAAGCUAUCAGGUCUAGAAAGGCCCAGGGCUGCACCUUCAGAAGGCCUGGAGUAGUGUGCCAUGCCGUCCCGAGCCAGAACAUUCCCUGCUGAAUCAACUUCCUUACCUGCUAUCCUCCACUGUCAUCAUCCUGUCACUAAGCCCUGAGUUCUGCCUUCCGAGGCCUCUGAAUCAUCCCCCUCCAACCAUCCAGGUACCCUCCAUACAUUUCACACAGAGGAUGCCCCUGGGGUUCUACCUUCACUCUCCAAAGUCCCUGGGCCAACACCAAUGACCCCUAGGCCCUUAGGCAGGUGCUGCCAAGUCCAGGAGCUGCUUCACAGAGAGCCAUGUAGCACUCUGAUCCCUGCAGUA